UGUCAGCUUUGUCGCAACCAAAAUUUGCUUAGUGUGACAAACUUCUUUUCCUCGCGCAAGCUAUUUACUGUAGUAGUGAGGUUAAUUUCACAUAUAUUGCUUUCACAUUUAUUAUGUCCUUCACCAAAAACACUAGAACCAAACUAUACGAGCUCUACCUUACUUAAUACACCCCAUUACAAUAACUAGGGAGUUGCAAGGUCACCUCUCUACAAAUGUGAUCGAUUCACCGUUGGUUUCUAAUGCAACCAAGCCUAGAAGACUAGGGUUCGGUUAACUUUGAAGUUUCCUAUAAGUAGUUUCUGAAAAACCACUUAAAAAAAAACACAUGUUAUGUGAUUAUCUUGAAGUAGUAAACGAAAUUAUAACUCAAAGAAAUUUUAACAAUUUUUUUGCUAAAAGCUAAUGAAUGUUGUAAUAUGAACUA
rnacentral:lncRNA from 1 species